UACAUUCGGUUUGCCUGACGGGUCAGACAAUUCAGAUCGAAACUCACGUCCAAACCUGGUCCGAAGCUUGCUUGAUUGAAGGAAAUCCAGGUCAAUUUACCUCCCGAGAAGACCCGGCCGGGACUCUUCCAAGGUUAGCUGAUCCUAAGCGAGCUAGGUUUUUUGCAUUUCACUCCCAUUAUUUGAAACUCUAUCUUCACCUAUCAAUUCUUCCCCCUCCCCCCCAUCUACUCCAAUCUGUCCUCCCAUCUCCGGCUAUCUACUGCUAGGGCACCGACCAGGUAAAGCAUUUCGAAGCCGUUUCUAAUCAUGCUUAUAUUUGGGUUUGAGCUAGGGAUUUUGAUCGAGGUCAAACAAAGAGGGAGGCAGCUUAUGCGACAGGUUUGAACUAGAUCGCUAGCGGUUAACAGACCUCAUCCGAAAUCAUAAGGAGUCAAUUUCCGGGUAUUAUUAUUAAAAACCUAGUUCUAUCUUAUCAUGAUUUGGGAUUGUACUACUGUCUUGACUUAAGGUCUGCCUAUUUCUGGUUAUGACGCCAUACCCUUGAAUGUACGCACUUGUUUAAACUGGGAUCAUCUUCCUACCAUGUACUGACCUUUUAAAGCUCUCCUUGGUUGACAUGCCUGCUAACUUUAUUCCGA
rnacentral:lncRNA from 1 species